rnacentral:lncRNA from 1 species
ACCAAGGACCCCAGCCGGAACCGCUACAAGCUGUUUCUGGAGUGCACCCUGAUCCUCACCUCGGUCGUGCCUCCUGAGCUGCCCAUCGAGCUGUCCCUGGCCGUCAACACCUCCCUCAUCGCCCUGGCCAAGCUCUGUGAGUGUGUCAAAUGGGAUGGGGUGCCGAGUGGGCUGGGGCCAAGCAGGACCCCUGACCUCACUCCCGCCCCUAGACAUGUACUGCACAGAGCCCUUCCGGAUCCCCUUUGCUGGCAAGGUCGAGGUGUGCUGCUUUGACAAGACGGGGACGUUGACCAGUGACAGCCUGGUGGUGCGCGGUGUGGCCGGGCUGAGAGACGGGAAGGAGGUGACCCCAGUGUCCAGCAUCCCUGUAGAAACACACCGGGCCCUGGCCUCGUGCCACUCGCUCAUGCAGCUGGACGACGGCACCCUCGUGGGUGACCCUCUAGAGAAGGCCAUGCUGACGGCCGUGGACUGGACGCUGACCAAAGUGCCCUGAAGCGAAUGUCCGUGCUUGCCUCGUAUGAGAAGCUGGGCUCCACCGACCUCUGCUACAUCGCGGCCGUGAAGGGGGCCCCCGAAACUCUGCACUCCAUGUUCUCCCAGUGCCCGCCCGACUACCACCACAUCCACACCGAGAUCUCCCGGGAAGGAGCCCGCGUCCUGGCGCUGGGGUACAAGGAGCUGGGACACCUCACUCACCAGCAGGUACGGG